GUGAGGGGGUUACUAGUGACAGAGUGAGGGAAGGGGUGACUAGUGGCAGAGUGAGGGAAGGAAGGGGUGACUAGUGACAGAGUGAGGGAGGUGGUGACUGUUACUAGUCACCACCUCCCUCUGUCACUACUCCCUCCCUCCUGUCACUACUCCCUCCCUUCUUCUGUCACUAGUCACCCCUCCCUCACUCUGUCACCAGUCAUCCCCUCCCUCACUCUGUCACCAGUCAUCCCCUUCCCUCAC
rnacentral:sRNA from 1 species